rnacentral:tRNA from 1 species
CAGAGUGUAGCUAAAAUAGGAAAGCACCUCCCUUUCACCGAGAAGACAUCCGUGCAAAUCGGGUCACCCUGA